UUGUCUAGGUUUACCAGGAUACUUCCCUCUGAUAAAGAUGACUGAAGAAAUCUUCCCCUCAGAAAAUCACACGGUACCUUUGGCCUAUAAAUAUUACUGGCACUAGGGGCACCUGGGUGGCUCAGUUUGCUAAUCACAGUGUACAACAGGUGCUAAGUCCUGCUGCUAGCCAUCUUUUCAACAUAUGCAUCCCAACAGACUUGUAUAAAUAGUACCUACCACACUAAUUCAACAAAUAUUUUAUGAAUAUGGUGGCUGGGGCAAAGGAGGCAUUCACAGAUGCUGAUUGAAUAAAAAAAAAAAAAGCACUCCUUUGACUUGGUGUGAGGUGCUACCAGCUGCGUGGUAGGAAGAGGAAGAGGAGAGAGCUCUAUAUAAAUAAUAUCAGACUGUUCUGCUACCAAAUAGGACCUGGGCCUCACCCAAGCCAAAGGGCUCUCCGGGAUGCACGUACGACCUACAACCCGCCCCUUGAAAAGGAAAGCAGGGCCCGGGACACUCCGGCUGAGCGCGCAGGGCUUGGAGAGGGAAAGUAACCCGAGUCGGCCUUUUCGGGCGGACCCACCCCCUCCCACGAGUCUCCCCGGGUCCUCCGCCCCGCCCCUCUCUUAUUCCGCGAGCAGCGACCCGAGCUGAAACUUUGUAACCCGAGCGCGCUCGCCGGCGCUCCUCCCUGCCCAAGUCCAGCCCCGGAGGGAGGCGCGGGAGGUGGGACCCGCGGCCGGGCCGGCUCGGGGACGCCGGCGCACGCGGCGCGGAGACCCGGGGGAGCGCGGCGCGGAGAGCGGGAGAGCGGGAG